AGAGAAGGCUCCAGGGAGACCUUUCAGUGGCCUUUCAGUAUCUAAAGCAGAGGGGCAGUCUGACAGAAUGACCUCUGAUACAGAAGCACGGAUGAAGCAAAGGAGUGUCACUGAAUUCCUCCAUGAGGAAGAAAAGGCACCCGUUGAUGUUCAUCGAUGCUUGCUGAAUGUUUAUGGAGACCAAACAAUGGAUGUGAGCACAGUGAGGUGGUGGCUGAUGAUUCAACAGUGGCAAUAGUGACACUUGAAGUGAAUUUUUCAGCUGUGAGCUGCCGAAUUAGCCUUGGGGUCUGCAGUUCAAUGCCUUCCCAUUGAAAGAUGAGUUCAGAGACAAUGACUUGGAAAAGAAAAGAUUAAAGCAG
ensembl:lncRNA